rnacentral:tRNA from 1 species
CGCGUCGUGGCCUAACUUGCUAAGGCCCCUGGUUUGGGACCAGGACGAUGUCGGUUCAAAUCCGGCCGACGCGA